CACGUAGGGUGCGAGCGUUUGUCCGGAAUUAUUGGGCGUAAAGAGCUCGUAGGCGGUGUGUCGCGUCGGCCGUGAAAACCUGCAGCUUAACUGUGGGCUUGCGGUCGAUACGGGCAUCACUGGAGUUCGGCAGGGGAGACUGGAAUCCUGGUGUAGCGGUGAAAUGCGCAGAUAUCAGGAGGAACACCGGUGGCGAAGGCGGGUCUCUGGGCCGAUACUGACGUGAGGAGCGAAAGCGUGGGGAGCGAACAGG
rnacentral:rRNA from 1 species